UGCCUGCUUUCAACUUUGACUCCUGAUCUGUGAUCUGUUACUACUACUCUGAUCUCCAGCCCCGGUGUUGAGAAUUUCAAAGUGUGAGGAGGGUCAUGACCUCAUCCAUCACAGCACCGCUACACUACCAGGUUCAGACAUUAUUUUACACCCUGGACGCUGAGUGUGCCAUACAGUGAUCCACAUACUGCAGGUCCAGAGUGCGAGGAGAACGCUUCAUAUUCAAACCAUCAUGUGUCAGCGAGACCCUGAUAUCUGACGAGCUCUACGUUCCGCAGCUCUGUGCCCCAGACUCUCGGCCCUCUCCUGUUCCCAUGAGAAUGAUCUCCGGUUGGGGCAGAAGCCACUCGCUGUGUAACCCUCUGCUCUCCCCCAAAGGAGGGCUGACAUUAAGUGAGCGACCCGGCCCCCGCCAACAUGAAGAUGUAUGCCCCAGCACAGCAGUAACAGUGGAGGAAAUAAGGCUGUCUUAUGUCAAAAUAAAUAAGUAAGAUGAUGAGAGCAGCUGUUUAUCUGCGUGUGACCAGCAGAGGAUGGUGCAGCAACACUUUGGAUCUGUGUUAUUGUUUUAAGAAAUGUGUCUCUAAUCUCUGCUUGUAUCAAAGAAAUGCAUCAGUAUCAGUCGACUGUGCAAAUAAACUCAAUAAUUGACAACUCGCAUCGCUCCCCACAUGUUGAGCUUGUGUUUCACAAGCCUGGGACUAAGCCAUCUGUCUGGAACUAAUCUUCAUCUCCAUGUCGAGCGAAG